rnacentral:ncRNA from 1 species
UGAAAGACGAUGAUGGAGAAAAGUAGGUCAAAUCCAGCCUUGCAGGGAGAAGAAGUCUAGACUGGGAGCUUCUUUAAGGUAUGGUUGAUUGAAGUUCACUCCGAAGUUGCUGUUCUGAAGUUUAAGUAGGGGCAGACGGGUUUUCCGCCGUUAUCAAGGAAGAGGUAUCGGAUGAACAGUCCCGUACCGGUAAAAGUGGCCAACGCAAUUAGGGUGGUACCGCGGAUGAUGAUUCUCCGUCCCUUGA